UGGGGAAUAUUGCACAAUGGGCGCAAGCCUGAUGCAGCCAUGCCGCGUGUAUGAAGAAGGCCUUCGGGUUGUAAAGUACUUUCAGCGGGGAGGAAGGCGAUGUGGUUAAUAACCGCGUCGAUUGACGUUACCCGCAGAAGAAGCACCGGCUAACUCCGUGCCAGCAGCCGCGGUAAUACGGAGGGGGCAAGCGUUAAUCGGAAUUACUGGGCGUAAAGCGCACGCAGGCGGUCUGUCAAGUCGGAUGUGAAAUCCCCGGGCUCAACCUGGGAACUGCAUCCGAAACUGGCAGGCUUGAGUCUCGUAGAGGGGGGUAGAAUUCCAGGUGUAGCGGUGAAAUGCGUAGAGAUCUGGAGGAAUACCGGUGGCGAAGGCGGCCCCCUGGACGAAGACUGACGCUCAGGUGCGAAAGCGUGGGGAGCAAACA
rnacentral:rRNA from 1 species